UUUCUCCAGGGGGGCAGCAGUGGGGGAUAUUGCACAAUGGGGGGAACCCUGAUGCAGCGACGCCGCGUGGGUGAAGGAGCGUUUCGGCGCGUAAAGCCCUAUCGGCAGGGAAGAAGAUGACGGUACCUGACCAAGAAGCCCCGGCUAACUACGUGCCAGCAGCCGCGGUAAUACGUAGGGGGCAAGCGUUAUCCGGAUUUACUGGGUGUAAAGGGGGCGCAGACGGCAAUGCAAGCCAGGAGUGAAAGCCCGGGGCCCAACCCCGGGCCCGCUCUUGGCACUGCAUGGCUGGAGUACGGGAGGGG
rnacentral:rRNA from 1 species